rnacentral:rRNA from 1 species
UAUCUCUGUAGAGUCUGCAUAUCAAUAAGCGGAGGAAAAGAAACUAACUAGGAUUCCCUCAGUAACGGCGAGUGAAGCGGGAAGAGCUCAAAUUUGAAAUCUUCAAGGUUCUACCUUGACGAAUUGUAGUUUAAAGAAGUGUUUUCUGUUGAAGUUUUGGUAAAAGUUCUUUGGAAUAGGACAUCAUAGAGGGUGAGAAUCCCGCAUUUGACCAUUAUUUCCAGCUUUGUGAUACACUUUCAAAGAGUCGGAUUGUUUGGGAAUGCAGUCCAAAAUGGGUGGUAAAUUUCAUCUAAAGCUAAAUACUGGCGAGAGACCGAUAGCGAACAAGUACCGUGAGGGAAAGAUGAAAAGAACUUUGAAAAGAGAGUUAAACAGUACGUGAAAUUGUCAAAAGGGAAGCGUUUGACACCAGUGUUGUUUUCUCGAAAAUCAAUUAAAAAAGGCAGGAUUUUGUGUUGUAUUGACUUUAUCAGCUUUCUGCACUCUUUUCUUGUCUUUUUUAAUGCACUUUUCGUUUAACAAGUCAACAUCAAUUUCUUUUGUUGUAAAAGGGUCAUUGGAAGGUGGCUUUCUUUUCGGAGAAAGUGUUUAUAGCCUUUGCCUCUAGCAAUCGGAGAGACUUGAGGUCUGCAGCGUAGAUCCUUCUGGAUUAGAUACAUUUGUGCUAAGUUAUAACCGUUUCAUAGACAACUUGUUGACUAUGAUCGAUCAUGUAGCUUACUCGCUUAUGCUAAUUUUACCUACGCUUAGGAUGUUGAAGAUGUAGCACAUCAU